UACGUAGGGGGCAAGCGUUGUCCGGAAUCAUUGGGCGUAAAGCGCGUGUAGGCGGCCCGAUAAGUCCGCUGUGAAAGUCCAGGGCUCAACCCUGGGAUGCCGGUGGAUACUGUCGGGCUCGAGUCCGGAAGAGGCGAGUGGAAUUCCUGGUGUAGCGGUGAAAUGCGCAGAUAUCAGGAAGAACACCCGUGGCGAAGGCGGCUCUCUGGGACGGUGCUGACGCUGAGACGCGAAAGCGUGGGGAGCGAACAGG
rnacentral:rRNA from 1 species